AACGAACGCUGGCGGCGCGCCUAACACAUGCAAGUCGGACGCACUCAGCAAUGGGUGAGUGGCGGACGGGUGAGUAACACGUGGGAACCUGCCCUGGGGUCUGGGAUAGCUGCGGGAAACUGCAGGUAACACCGGAUAUACCCUUUGGGGGAAAAUUCAUGCCCUGGGAUGGGCCCGCGUCGGAUUAGGUAGUUGGUGGGGUAGUGGCCUACCAAGCCUGUGAUCCGUAGCCGGUCUGAGAGGAUGAUCGGCCACACUGGGACUGAGACACGGCCCAGACUCCUACGGGAGGCAGCAGUGGGGAAUCUUGCGCAAUGGGCGAAAGCCUGACGCAGCCAUGCCGCGUGAAUGAUGAAGGUCUUAGGAUUGUAAAAUUCUUUUACCAGGGACGAUAAUGACGGUACCUGGAGAAAAAGCCCCGGCUAACUUCGUGCCAGCCGCCGCGGUAAUAC
rnacentral:rRNA from 1 species